rnacentral:rRNA from 1 species
UACGUAGGGUGCAAGCGUUAAUCGGAAUUACUGGGCGUAAAGCGUGCGCAGGCGGUUUCUUAAGUCUGUCGUGAAAUCCCCGGGCUUAACCUGGGAAUGGCGAUGGAGACUGCGAGGCUAGAGUUUGGCAGAGGGGGGUAGAAUUCCACGUGUAGCAGUGAAAUGCGUAGAGAUGUGGAGGAACACCGAUGGCGAAGGCAGUCCCCUGGGUCAAAACUGACGCUCAUGCACGAAAGCGUGGGGAGCAAACAGG